CAUCUAUUCAAACCAAUCAAAGAUUUAGACUUUCUAACACAUUUCAAAAACACCAUACUUUUACUCCCUCUCUUCCUUAUCUCUCUCGGCCAACCACACCCCCACACACUUACCCAUUUUUAUAAAGAUAAAUAUCAAGACUCAAGCUCCAAGAUCCAAGUUUUUUUGUGAUUCAAUCUUUGGUUUGAAGAUUUAAGCUCAAGAUCUCUUCUUUUCUAACUUUUCCUUCUCCUUGCUCGUUUUAAUAGGUCACGACGAGGUUAUUUCAAGCUGUGGGAUUUGUUUAUCUUUGUUUGAUAUAUGGAGUAUUAUGCUUUGCCGAUCAGGUCACGACGAGGUUAUUUCAAGCUGUGGGAUUUGUUUAUCUUUGUUUGAUAUAUGGAGUAUUAUGCUUUGCCGAUCAGUAUACAAGCUGCCGUAAAAGAAAAGGGCCACCACUUUUAAAAGGUGCUGCCCUAUUUUCAUUCAUUGGUAUUACGACCGGCAAGCUACGCCGCUCAGUUCGUGUUCGUGUCUAGCACUAGUUCGUUGUACCUCGGUGUCUCACACGGUUACUAUUAACCAAAAGGGACCUAAUUGAUUACCUACAACUUAAUUGACUUUCCGUGAUUAACUGCCGAGCAAACCAAGGACCAUAGGUACUCAGCUGGAGCUUGCAUGGAGGAGAGUCGUUG